ACUAUUCUUACCUCAUCUUCUAGAGACUGUAUGGAACCUUACAAAUGAUGAUGGCAAAUCCUCCAGGACCCUAUUGAACGGUUCUCUCCCUUGCCUUUAAGUUCUUCUCCCCAGCUAGGGUUCACAGGGCUACUUUCCUGACAAUCGGGUGAAGCUGACUAUAUGACCUCAGAUCUACCCUUCUCUCUUCGAUGCCCUGUUCUGGGACUGCAGAGGCUGACUCAUGGAUUUCACUGAUGAGCUGUCUUGCUAUUCAGGUUCCAGGUGGAUUUGGCUGAUGGAAGGAGAGGGAAUCAAGCUCCUGAGUCUUCAGUCUUCCCUUAAGGAGGAGAAAGAAGAGACCAGGAAUGGCCAUGAUGGUGAUGUCAAUGUGGGGUGCUGCUGGGUAAAAAUAUAUAAGAGAAAGAUGCAGCAUUUCUUCCCUUUCGAGGAUGCAGCAAUGAGACACCAUCUUGGAAGCAGAGACCAGACUCACACCAGAUGAUAACCAACUGCUGCCUUGACCUUGGACUUCACAGUCUCCAGAACUGUGAGAAAGAAAUUUCUAUUGUUUAUAAAUCAGCUAGUCUGUGGUAUUUGGUUAUUGUAGCACUAAUGAACUAAGACAAUGCCUCUCAGUCAGGUCAGAUAUAGCUGCUGGAGAUUCAGAAAUCUAUGGGUGUUGGGGCUAAUUUAAUUGUUUCUAACCCAUCCAAGGUACAACAAUACAGGAAAAACAGAAUAGCUACACUCCAGAAAAUAUGUCAU
rnacentral:lncRNA from 1 species